UAGAAUGCAGUUCGCCAUAACUUAAGUCUUCAACCAUAUUUUAUGCGGGUUGCUGUUGAUGCUAAAGGGGGUAUGUGGACCAUGGAUCAAAUAGAGUUUUUCAAACGAAAAGAAAGAACGUCUGGCAAUCACCAGUUGUCUGCACAAGGUUAUACUCUUCAAGGAACUACACUUAAACAUGCUCAUGGAAGAAAACAAAGAACUUUCAGCAGAACA